rnacentral:misc_RNA from 1 species
GUUUCCGUAGGUGAACCUGCGGAAGGAUCAUUAUUGUAUAACCGAGGUGCGAGGGCUGUCGCUGACCCGAAAGGUCGUGCACACCCGAGUGCCCUCACACACAUCCAUCUCACCCCUAUGUGCACCACCGCGUGGGUCCCCCUUUGGCUUGUUCGGAGGGGGGCUUACGUUUUCACACAAACUUUGUAUGCAGUGUAGAAUGUAUUUUUUGUUUUUGCGAUCACGCAAUCAAUACAACUUUCAACAACGGAUCUCUUGGCUCUC